GAAAAAUUUAUUUCACCUCAAAAUAAAAUGGACUCCAAAUAUGUUUUCCCUCAAAAAUUUUCGCCCAACAUUUUCUUCAAAAAAUUCUCCCAACCUUUCCCCCAAAUUUUCAAUUUUCAAACUUUUCAGCUUUUCAAUUCAUUUUGCACUAAAAUUUCAAACAUCAGCGGAGAAAUUUGCAUCUUCUAUUCUCUAUACAUUGCAAUCUUCUUCCAAGAGAUGGCUGCAAGGAAAUUAGAUUCGACCACCGGCAAAGUGCCCCUUCGCUACCGCCCCUGAACUGUUGCUUUUAGGUUCCACAAAUUGGAACUACUUCUUAGAAGGUAUUCCCUCACUUCAUAUAAGAAUCGACAUUUCAAUUCUAGUGACUUCACAAGUUUCUGCGCAAUCACAAAACAAUGAUAUGAUAUGUGUUGUGUUCAAUUAAUUGGAUUUCGCUUGUAUAUAUGUUCCUGUAUUUCUUUUUUGUAAAUGUUCCUUAUGAAUAUCAGUUGAUGUGAAUAUAUAUUAUUAGUACUGAUUGUGACUAAUUUAUGUUUAUUGGCUUAGAAAGAGGAUUUCUCCUUGAGCGCUCCAUAUAUAAUAAUGUAAUGCUCUUUCAAAACAUAUUGUGUUUCUUGAAUUUGCCUUUUAAGUUAAUAGAAUGUUGAUUCAAAGUAAUAUAUUUUACUAUCAUUGACCAAUAUUGAAGAUAUGAUCAUUCUCUAUGAGAUUUAUCUACUUUUUGCAUAGCUGAUUGAUCAAGUUAUAAACUUAUAUUUAUCACAUUACCAACAAUUUCUCUUGGACCCUUUCUCUGAUGAUUAGCUUACCAGAUUCUUCAUGCUGCCAAAUGCAAAUGAAUUCAUUGCAGGAAACAACUCAAAGAUUGUAAGGCCUUUUCUAAUUUGUUCAAUAUGCAGAAUGCGCAGGCAAUCCCCCUUCACUAAUAAUGUUGAUUCAAAAUUUUUUCUCAAUUUUGAGCUAAUGUUGAUUCUUCUUUUCGCUGUACAGAAGCUGCUACAUGAAAUAAUGGAGCAUUUCCUCUAAGUUGUGGGCAAAAUCAUGACAACUAGUGAAUGUAAAAUAGAAUUGGAUGUCUAUGCUAUGCAUUGUUUAUUUGAUUGUAUAUAACUAGAAUGCAAUUAUAAAAUAUGUUGAGAUAAAUAUGAAAAUAUUCGUUAGAAUAAAAAGGUAACUAAUAUCUUCACAUAUUAUUAUGAUCAAUCUUGGUUUAUGCUUUUCUAUUGAUUUUUUAGUUCCUGUAUUAAUUUUCUAUGGAUGUGAUGAUUUCUCCUUUAUUUGACAUAUACAGAAUCUCUAUCAAGCACAGGCUUCGCUCCUCAGACUUACAUGCAUCGAGGAAUCGCCUUAAAGGAUCUGAUUCGCUUGUGGCUAAGCUUUGUGGGAUUGAGAAGGUCGCGUGGCGUGGGAGAGGUACU